UUUAUGGAGAGUUUGAUCCUGGCUCAGGAUGAACGCUGGCGGCGUGCCUAAUACAUGCAAGUCGAGCGAACGGACGAGAAGCUUGCUUCUCUGAUGUUAGCGGCGGACGGGUGAGUAACACGUGGAUAACCUACCUAUAAGACUGGGAUAACUUCGGGAAACCGGAGCUAAUACCGGAUAAUAUUUUAAACCGCAUGGUUCAAAAGUGAAAGACGGUCUUGCUGUCACUUAUAGAUGGAUCCGCGCUGCAUUAGCUAGUUGGUAAGGUAACGGCUUACCAAGGCAACGAUGCAUAGCCGACCUGAGAGGGUGAUCGGCCACACUGGAACUGAGACACGGUCCAGACUCCUACGGGAGGCAGCAGUAGGGAAUCUUCCGCAAUGG
rnacentral:rRNA from 1 species